GUAAUGCUAUUCCUAUUUUGUCUGUGGUUUAUCUCCCUCUUAACAGGUGAUGCCUCUAGUGAAGGAAUAGCACCAGUCUCUCCUAAUGAAUUUGUCUCAGAAGGGAACACAAUCACCCUGUCCUGCAAUUACAAUGGAUCAGCUACUACAGAUGCUUUCCUUUGGUAUCAUCUGUACCCGAGAUCCAGACCAGACUUCCUGUUUCUAGUUAAUGAAGCUGGAUUUAAGCAACCAGCGGAUCCUCCAAUUCCUGGAAUAUCUGCUAGAUUAAAUGAGGAGAAAAAUCUUGUAGAUCUGCAGAUCACUGGCACUGCAUUAACUGAUUCUGCUCUGUACUACUGUGCCCUGCAGCCCACAGUGACAGGAAACACACAUGCACUGUACAAAAAUCAGACACAUUAAAAUAGAAACUGCAAUCUGUUUUAAGUGCUCAUUGGAUCAUUAUGCAUUGAUUUUGAUCCAGCAUUUGGGAGCCAAUGAUUAAGAAUGAGAUUUUGACUUUCAGUUGGCUAAUCAUUGUCUCCUUAUCAACUGACCUUAUGUUUAAGAAAACAGAAUACUAAAAUACAUAUAAUCAGAAUUUAAGGACAUGCAUUUAGUAAACCACUCUAACAGUUCUCAUCGGUAUACAGUAUACAUUUUGACACAUUUUAGU